ensembl:misc_RNA Y_RNA Y RNA
GGCUGGUCCAGUGGUAGUGGAUUAUCAGAACUUAUUAACAUUAGUGUCACUAAAGUUGGUAAACAAACCCUGACUGCUAAAUUUAACUGGCUUAAA